rnacentral:lncRNA from 1 species
GUAACUAUACGAGACUGAUGCUAAAGAUUAAUAGCUUCUCCCAGAAUUUGGAAGAAGUGAAAAAGGAUUUUCGCCUAUAGGCUCCAGAUGGAGCAGGUCCUGCUGACAACUCAGUUCAGACUUCCGGCCUCCACACCGUGAGUCAAUACACUUCUGCUGGUUUAACCCACCCACUGUGUGUUAAUUCAUUUUAGCAGCCCAAGCAAAGUAAUGUAGGUUUGUUUAGGGAGAGCCUUACUGUUCUGCAUUAAUGAGCUGGAAUCUCCUAAACCUUUGAACCUGCUAAAGAUCACAAAUCCUAUUAUCAGACUUGAAAACCUUUUAAGAUGAAUAAUUACCUGCUUCCAUUUUAUUCGGUUUUUCCCUCAUAACUGGACAUUUUUUCUUAUGCUGCAGGAGAGACUCUUUUCAUUCUGGGAGACAAGAUUACCCACCAGGUAUUUGCUCCAUCUGGGUCACUACUAAGGAGUCACUUUGGACUACUGCCCCAUCUUGCCCACUGUGGCACCUCUGGAUUCUCUAUCUCUGGAGUACAUCCGGAAAGAAAAUGUUGACACGGUCAAAAAGGAUAAAACAGGCUUAGUAACACAGGCUGAUGGCAGAAACAGCAUUGUGCAGUGGUUGAACACACAGGCUCCAAAGCCAGACUGCUUAGGUCUGAAACUUGCUCUGCCAUUGACGAGUAUGUAGUCUUAGGUAAGUCACUUAUCUUUCUUUUUCCUAUUUUUCUCAUUUUUAAGAUGAUGAAACUAAUAGUAACGUCCUCAUUAUUGUUAAGACGGUUACAAGGAAU